CCUACGGGCGGCAGCAGUGAGGAAUAUUGGUCAAUGGGCGCGAGCCUGAACCAGCCAAGUAGCGUGAAGGAUGACUGCCCUACGGGUGGUAAACUUCUUUUAUAAAGGAGUAAAGUGAGGCACGUGUGCCUUUAUGCAUGUACUUUAUGAAUAAGGAUCGGCUAACUACGUGCCAGCAGCCGAGGUAAUACGGAGGAUCCGAGCGUUAUCCGGAUUUAUUGGGUUUAAAGGGAGCGUAGAUGGGUUGUUAAGUCAGUUGUGAAAGUUUGCGGCUCAACCGUACAAUUGCAAUUGAUACUGGCAGUCUUGAGUACAGUUGAGGUAGGCGGAAUUCGUGGUGUAGCGGUGAAAUGCUUAGAUAUCACGAAGAACUCCGAUUGCGAAGGCAGCUUUCUAAACUGCCACUGACAUUGAUGCUCGAAAGUGUGGGUAUCAAACAGGAUUAGAUACCCCGGUAGUC
rnacentral:rRNA from 1 species